GCACUGCAACCUCUUCCCUCCUUCAUGGGGACACGGGUUUCCCUGAGCUGUGGUAAGCAGGGAUGUGCCAGGGCCUCUUCAAGUCCCCCAAAAUCCCCACUCUGCAUACAACUCAUAAUUCUUCUCUCCUAAUUCUUUCUCUCCUUCUUCCCCUAACUGUCUUUUCUUGAUGCUUCUCAUAGACAUUUCUUCUCCUCUUCCCCAUUCUCUACACUGACAGAUUGAUGGAGACAAUACUUGGUGAUGGAAUGGCCAGCAAAUAUUUUCCUUCUCUUCAACCACACACAGCAAAGCCAAACCUCCUCAUUUUGAGACAAGUGCUCUCAGAAGUUAAAUUCCUGCCACAUCUCUGUCUUUGGAAGUUGGGCAGACUCUUAAUGUUUUUCAGCAAAGUACAUCUCCUACCACUCAGGUCACAUUUCAUGUUGGCACUCCUCAGGUGUCAGAUUUUGAAAAGAAGCCAUCUGGGUCUCAGCCUUUGUCCUCCUCCUCCUCAUGCAUCAUUGCCAUGCUUUGGAUUUGCAAAACCACAUUUUGAAGGAUUCCCAGCUGCUUCUCCAAGCAUCUCGUCUAGUUGAGUGUUUGGCAUAAAUUGGAAAAGGCUCAAAUAGUCUGUAAUUUCUAUCUAAGCAGUGCAGGAUGUGUAGCCAGAGGUGUUUUAAAGGUCUCCUCACCAAAUACUAUGAAAUGUAUGGUAUUCAGCUGAGAGGGCUCAAUAAAAACUGCAAAGAUUUGCAGAGUUUAGGACACAGAUAAGUACUAAAUAGAGAAAAUACAUUCCAGCAAUGUAGACUAACCAGAUGUUUUAAUCAUUUUAUGGCAUUUAUCACCACCUCUCAGACCGACCAUUGGCUACUGCUGUCCUUUAAGCUCAACUGUACCUCAGCAGUGCCCAAAGACAGAGAAGGAUGCAGGGGGAAUGCAGCAAAACAAAGCCUCACCAUCCUGGUCAGGAUCCUUCAUGGUGAUCACCUUUAACAUAAACCAUUGCACUAGCAUGCUGCUGAGUACUGGAACAAGGCUCCUUAACAUCCCCUCGUCCCCAUCUCACACACCUCUUCUCCAUCUGUGUGCCCGAGCCCAGUUAGGUCAGGUCUGUAUGGAGGCUUAGUUUCAAGGCUAAACACAUCCAUCACAAGGCAGCUUCGUGCCAGCACUCUCAUCCCCUCUGUGAAACACCUUUUGAGGACUCUCCAUGCAAAGCCUGCAUCCCCAACAUGCAUUUUCAGCCCUCCCCAAGCCUAAACCCACAGUUUACCAGGAAUGGGAAGAGAUGCAGGAAAACAAGGGGCACUUCAACCCCUUUUUAAAGCUCAAAUUCCCUCCCAUUUUGGUAUAUUUAACUUGGGCGCAGUUCUGAAACAAAAGGCACAGAGAUGCCAAGUUGUUGGGGCAGGGGGAGGGAAGAAAGUUGGUUCGGUUCUGAGAGCCUUGGAAGAUCAUUAAAAUUUCAUAACAGGCUGGGAAAAAAAAAAAAAAAGAAAAAAAAAGAAAGGUUGUUUGCUUAUAAGGUCUCUAGUGUUUAAAGAGCUAGAGACAAAACUGCCGAGCAGUAUAUUCCAGUUUAUCCUGUGGAAUAGGAAGGAAUGGCCCCAGACGUAAUUACAAGGGUACAGCAGGGAUUCACAACAUCGGUUCUCAACCUUUCCCUUAUUUCUUCAUGGGAGGAAGUGAAGUGGCAAGGCUCCCAGCUAGACACAUUUGUCGUCUCAGUGUGGAGGAAUAAUUGGAGCACGGCUCCUGUUAGGGAGUUGUGCAAAAGGAACCUUCUUCAGAUCUUUCUUUUUCUUUUCUCUUUCUUUUUCUUUUUCUUUUUCUUUUUUUUUUUUUUCCAGAAACAAAGAUUUAAAAGUGCAGCUCCAGUUUAAACACCCCUUAUAGCCAGACAGCAAAGCUGUGGACAAUCAAUGGAUGUACUUUUAUGUGCAUGCAGCAGAUAAUGUCAUUUACGAGCACAGAAGGCUUCUGGGCUCUGCAACAGCUGGUGGUAUGACAGAGGUCUCAUUCCUGAUGUGCAAAGGGGAGCUGGCAUGAAUGGAACAGGGUGAGUCACCAUCCCUGCAGGUGUUCAGGAACCGUAGACAUGCGGCAUUCAGGGAUGUGGUUUAGUGGGCAAUAUUGGUGGUAGGUGGACAGUUGGACUAGAUGAACUUAGAGAUCUUUUCUAACCUUAAUGAUUCCAUAAUCCCAUGAUUCUAUGCACUCCUCUCCCUGAGCACCUCAUCUCUGCUCAUAUCUUCCCAACCUAGGCAAGCCACCCCAAAGAGUCAUUGCAGCAGUAGAUGUGGAUCAGGCUUAUAUGAAGGGAAAAGUGAAACAAUGGAUUCUGCUUUAUUUCUUUUCCUAUUUAGAGGCUUAUGCAAGCAUAUUUCACAUGCUUCAGGUGGCAAAAGCUCAAAAGAGGCUGAAGUUGUUGGGAUGAAGUGUAGUGGUCCAUUCCCAAAGACAUACUCAGUAUCACGGAUUUCCCACUGCACCCAUCGUAUUGCAGAAAUCUCUGCUGGCUCAGGGAAGCAGUUUGCAAUUCUUGUGCUCCAACAUUGGUAAAUAGAGACCUUUUUACCUUUGGAUUUUCAUAUUCUGAAGAAAAUGAUCAGUGGCCAUAAAACCCAUUUAUUUUAGUAGCUCUGCUGAGGGCAUACAAGCCCGAGUCUUCAGAAUGGCAUCAAGACACAUACCACAGCUUGGAGCCAUAGAUACGUCCUUAUUCUUCCCUUUAUCCUUUACACUUGACCCUGAUCCAGUCAGUCAUAUGUUGUUCUUUCUGAAGGGCGGCAACACAGAAAAUGCCAAAUCUCUGAUUUAUUUGUGGUUAGGAAAAUGAUCCCCGCGUGAACUGAAAGCUUCCCUCCUUUUAAUUGUAAUACCUGCCUAAACCCUUAACCUCUCCAAAAUGCCCCUCAGUGCUGGAGUGGUUAUUGCAUCUCCAGUACUCCUGGCACUCCCUUGUCCCUAGACAGAGAUGGAGAAGACAACACUGCCUUAGCACAGCCACUGCCAGCAGCAGAGCCAGGACAGGGGAUGGAGUUGGGGCUGCUAAAUGAGGUUGCAACAGAUUGGAGAGAAAUUGUAAAAUGAAAUCCUCCAAAUUCAGUGGAGAGCAGCCUACCCUUUCAUGCUCCCAAUGAAGCCUUUUCUCCUUGACAAUUUGCUGAAAGGAUCUCCGUUGUUUGUUACUUAACACAUCUGUGGAUUUAUUGCAAGCUGAUGCUUUCUGUUUUACUUCUACAUGGCACAAGUGGAAGAUGGGGAGAACAAUUCAACCCAGAUCUCUGACUCCUCACUGCAUCCAAAUGUGGUGAAGUUCCAAACAGCACUGAUGCAAGAGAGUUCUGCUUGUCCUGGCCUGAUCAUGAAUGAUCCUGACACCCUCUGACUUUUUCCUGUAACAAAUAUUUAGGGAGAAAUGAAAGAAUUUGAAUAAAUGGUACGAAAAAAUGGAGAUCUAAAAUACAGGACACCAUUGUAUAGAUGGGGAAAAGAUUUAAUGCAACACUGACCACUUUCCUCAUGUAUGUGAGUCCACUUGUCAUGAGGUUACUCCCUGAUAUUUUGCCCAGUGGAGAAUACGGAGAGUGGGAAAGAGCAAAUCUUUCCCAGGGAGGAGUAAAACUCAAACCUCAGCUUCUCAAACAGACAGAAGGAACAAGGAGGGAUGAUGCCAUGCAGAGAGAGAUUCCCCGGCCAUUUAUUGCACUCUGUUGCUUCCUUGGCGAGGGCAGUGCAGAUGGGGACAACCAAAGCACCCUGUUCCUCCUGUGCUCCCUCUGAGCUCCUGCUGAGCUGUGUUGUGAUAUCUAUCACAGGGCGUCCAUAUCCUAACACUCCCCUUGUCCUUUACCUUGUUUAGCCUUUUCGCCAUCAUGAAAUAAUGUUCACAAUGGCAAGAACACAAAAUAGCUCAUAAUGUGCCUCAAACUGUGAGAAAAGCGCAUUCGAUCCUCCCCAAACACAGACCUGCUCACUUCAAAGGCGGCAAUAUUUUGAUAGUAAUCAACAUCGCGUUUUCUUCCCUUUCCUGGCCCAACGUGUCUAUUUGCUCAGGCACUCUUUCCGUCCAUCCAGAAAAUUCAAUGUGUCCAAAGCACACACGGGGCUGAGCAAUGAUCCCAGGCAAUGCCUGAGCAAAGCAGCCCCAGGUAUGAUCCCAGUGACCUGGCUGCUAUAGUGCUGCCACCCCAUGGCAUGGGAUUUGCUCCUGGGUUGUUUUAUUUGUGGCUAAAACACUAAGUGAGUGAAGAAACAUCCUCUCUGCCUUAGAGACAGUGAAAUAGGAACAAACAACAGAAUUACAGUCUCAACAUGUGAUCUAUAGCUCCCUGGAGGAAGAUGUCCCUCACGCCAUCCCCAUACAUGGCACAUCUUCAAAUGAUGGACUGGGGAGAACCGACUAUCUUCAGUUCUCAGAUACUGUGAUAAAUGAUUAAUAAAGAAUCAGAUUGAAACCAAA
ensembl:lncRNA